rnacentral:rRNA from 1 species
AUUGAACGCUGGCGGCAGGCUUAACACAUGCAAGUCGAGCGGAGAUGAGGUGCUUGCACCUUAUCUUAGCGGCGGACGGGUGAGUACUGCUUAGGAAUCUGCCUAUUAGUGGGGGACAACAUUCCGAAAGGAAUGCUAAUACCGCAUACGUCCUACGGGAGAAAGCAGGGGAUCUUCGGACCUUGCGCUAAUAGGUGAGCCUAAGUCGGAUUAGCUAGUUGGUGGGGUAAAGGCCUACCAAGGCGACGAUCUGUAGCGGGUCUGAGAGGAUGAUCCGCCACACUGGGACUGAGACACGGCCCAGACUCCUACGGGAGGCAGCAGUGGGGAAUAUUGGACAAUGGGGGAAACCCUGAUCCAGCCAUGCCGCGUGUGUGAAGAAGGCCUUAUGGUUGUAAAGCACUUUAAGCGAGGAGGAGGCUACUGAGACUAAUACUCUUGGAUAGUGGACGUUACUCGCAGAAUAAGCACCGGCUAACUCUGUGCCAGCAGCCGCCGUAACAC